ACAAGAUCAACUGCUAAAAUCACCAAAAGAAAAUUAAUCAAAGAUCACUUUAACAGAUGUUUAAUGAGUCGACAGAUCCCCAAAAUUUUUACCCAAGGAAAAUUUAUUUUGUUUAAAAAAACACACUUAGAAACCCUAUAAGGCUUUAAUACCAGUUUUAUUGGGAUUUCUUGAUGAAAUAUUAAUUGACAAAAUAGAUCUUAACUAUAAAGCUCAAAGCAUAAACAAAAUUGAACGCGAAAACACCAAGUAUAUUGACCCAAUUCAACAAAUCGGCCAAAUUUGGAGGGCUCAAAGACUGGAACCCGUUCCACUAAUGCAAAUCUGUCCUCCAAGAGGUAGUAUCAUGUACAUCAAACCACUCAGAAAAAUCAAUUUUGACCAUCGACCCAUAUGGAUCUACAAAACCACAACCAAUUCUUUCUAUCAAUCAACUUUAACCAAACCUGACUCAAACGAGAAAACAACACAUACUUAAUCAAGCUUAGAGUUGCUGUAGCAGGAUGGCUUUUCAUGAAUUAACUUAAAAUAAGGAUUAAAUUGAGAAGAUUUUUAACCAAAAUAAAAAAGGAAUAAGAAGAUCGCACGCAAGCGAAAAGUCUAGAGAGAAAAACUGAAG
rnacentral:lncRNA from 1 species